rnacentral:rRNA from 1 species
GACGAACGCUGGCGGCGUGCUUAACACAUGCAAGUCGAACGCUGAAGCUCAGCUUUUGUUGGGUGGAUGAGUGGCGAACGGGUGAGUAACACGUGAGUAACCUGCCUCCUUCUUUGGGAUAACGCCCGGAAACGGGUGCUAAUACUGGAUAUUCACUGGUCUUCGCAUGGGGGUUGGUGGAAAGGGUUUUUCUGGUGGGGGAUGGGCUCGCGGCCUAUCAGCUUGUUGGUGGGGUGAUGGCCUACCAAGGCUUUGACGGGUAGCCGGCCUGAGAGGGUGACCGGUCACAUUGGGACUGAGAUACGGCCCAGACUCCUACGGGAGGCAGCAAUGGGGAAUAUUGCACAAUGGGGGCAAGCCUGAUGCAGCGACGCCGCGUGAGGGAUGGAGGCCUUCGGGUUGUGAACCUCUUUCGCUCAUGGUCAAGCCGCAACAAUGGUUGUGGUGAGGGUAGUGGGUAAAGAAGCGCCGGCUAACUACGUG